rnacentral:tRNA from 1 species
GAGGUUAUAGCUCAGUGGCAGAGCGCCUGCUUAGUAUGCAUGAGGUCCUGAGUUCAAUCCCCGGUACCUCA